AAGAUGAACGUUUUGAAUGAUGAAUAGACCCCAUUUGAACAUGUUGGAAGUAUCUCAAGUCAUUCCCUAGCCAUUUGACCCUCAGUUGACUUUUGAUUUCAUAGUUGAAUUUUGAACUGUACUGAGCCCAUUAAGCUUGAUGCUUUAAAGAAAACCUCUGAAAAUGAAACCCUAGCUCCCAAGAGCUCUACACAACAUCCAUAAGACCUUCAAACCAAGAAUGCAUCUCAAUCCUUGAGGAACCCUUGA
rnacentral:lncRNA from 1 species